CAGAAGCAUACUGCGGCGGUCCCGGGGAGGCCGUGCUUUAACUGGCAUCCUCGCUGUGGCUGCAGGCGCCGCUGGUUCUCUUUCGCCUUUCCAGUUCUACCUUGGCCUGUGCAGCCACCCUAGAUCCGCGAACUUUGUGCCGCCGCUCCCUCUACCCUGUCUUGCGGCGGCCAGCGCUAAGAAUUCACGCUACGACACUCGGUUCAGCCAGGAGGUGACACCAGAUGUGGUCAGAAGCCAUGCCACUGGUGAAGAGGUAUAUUGAGCCCCGCCUGGCCCAGUGAGGUUACUAGAGAAUUGGGAGAGGCUUAGAUCAACAUCCUGCACAUGGUUAUCAAAUCAGUGUGAAGUCUUGAAAAUCACCUGGGAUGCCUGUUAAAAAUGCAGAUUCCUGGGCAGCCAGAAACCUUGUCAUUGGUCAAGAGCAACACUAAGACCUACCUGUCACGUAUAUUGAGGCUUCCUGCCCAGUGGGUUCAUCAGCAAGCCAGAACGAAUCACCAUUGCCAUGGAUGUCCUUGUGAGGCAGUUGGGAAGCCUUGGUUGAAUUGGGAAGGAUGUCUUUUGGAAAGUGUUUGAGAGAGUCUGCCAGCUCUUCCACACGAGUGAACAUGUAGCAGAAGAGGGGGUCCUCUCAGUGAUUAAGCUUAUUUCAAAAUGGAAGUGCUAUUGUUCCUGCUUAUAAAGUGAAGAGGUACUUAUAAACAAUUCAGAUGACACAGGAUAUAAAAAAAUAUAGUCAAGAUAAGCUAUAAUCCCAUCAUUCAACUAAAACCACUGUUAAACUUCUGUCACAGAAGCUGCAAUGAAUUCUGUCAUGGCCCUGAAGUAUGCUUUGUUCCCAUGGAAAAGAACCUAACUGAAGACUGAUAGCGUGGACAUGUUUCUGGCAUCAGGGAUGAGGGAGACCCUUAAAAACAACUUGUCAAGUCCUCACCAUGAAUACCAUUGGAAUUGCAGUUGGAAUGGCACUGAAUGCAUAGAUUGAUUUUUGGAGAGCUAUCGUCUGUAUAAUCUCAUACAUGAAUGUGUUUCUUCUCUCUGCUGCCUUUUGAGCUACGACACGGUGCUGGGAGAUGGGGAUAUGGAGACGAAUUUAGACACAGUCCCUGCCCUCAGGAGUUCUCAGUCUAGUGAGAGAGUUUGACAUGUACACGGAUAAUUACAACAGUAUGGUAUGCUCUACAGUGGAGGUACGUACAAGAUACUAUGGGGUUCGGAAGAGAAAUCAUUUGAUUGAGUAUGGAGAUGCCAGAGGCUGGAGGAACUGAUGCUUCAGGGGAUUCUUAAAAGAAGUAAAGCUUGACCAGGAAGAAAACAGGGAAGGACCUUUUAAGCAAAGGCAUGGACAUUGGAGAUAGAAUGAUGAAAUGGGGGGACUACGAGUAGUUCCUGAAAUUGGGUUAGAAAUGUAGGCUGAUGAUAGAUCCUUAUAUAGUAUUCCAUGAAAUGCGGAUUCCAUUUUGAGUGUUUCAGUAGGAGAUGCAUUUGAUGGUCACUCUGGCAGUACUAUAGAGUAUGUUCUGGAAGAUCUUCAAAUCCGGACAGGGAGAUUAGUGAGAAGGCUACGGUAGUAAGUAAGAUGAUAAAUGAUCUGAGGCCAGAAGGAGUGGGAGUGGAGAAGAGGACCUGACUUCUUAGAGGCUGUACAAACACGGACCUUAUAGAGGGGCCAGUUAAGGCUCUCAGACUUGGGCAAAUGUGCAUUCGCCUACCUCCAUCCCUGGCCUUGAUGAGAAAUCCCCCUCAUGUUUUCUAGAUGGGCAUUGCUCCUGGUCUCUUUUGGACCAGGGCUUGACUGGACCGUGCUUUGCAGGUUUCUCUUGGGGUGCAGCUGUAUAGGAAAUGUUGAUUCUCAGACAUCUGAACAGCUGCAGACCUCUCAUAGGAUUACUUAGUUCCUGGUCCUUCUCAUCAGUAGCUGCCCUCCCUCAUGACCACAUGUCGCCCAAAGUCAGAGCAGAGGCUCUCCUUAUCUAAAACCCACUCGGGGAAGAGGUGGCCCUCAUUGUUACUGUCUCAGUUCUGUUUUGCUUAGGGACUUGACAGUGUUUAUGGUUACACCUCCCAGUAAAACAUGUUCAGUAAUCAAAAAUCUGUAGAUGCAGUAUUCAUUUCCUCUUUCCUCAAAGCAAGAGGAACAUGUCCUUUAGAAGAUUCUCCACCUAGGGCUCAGAGUAGUGACCCUGGGGAUUCAGAGAAUGGAUUUCUGUGACUAGAACGAUUAACAGGAGAUUAUAGUUAAGUAGACCUUAGGUAUUUUCAGUGGACCCUGUGUAGGUAGCCAUCCUAGAGGGCACUAAGGGGAAGAAGGGGUGGGAGAGGAAGCUCCGAGUAGGACAGCAGAGCAGGACAGUAAGAGUUUGGGCCUUGGGACUAAAUAGCCUAGGCUCAGAUCUGCUUUUAGAUUCACCAGUGUGGUGUCAAGCAUGGUUUUUCACCUCUCUGGGGCUUUCCUUUCACUUAUGUAAAAUAGGGGUAAUAAUCUUCUUUUGCAGUGGUUUGGGGGGUGGUAAUAGCAAUGAUUUUUAAGGAUUUAAUGGGAUUGUUCAUGUAAAUUGCUUAGAACGAGUCAGAAGUAUGUCAAAUGCUGUAUCAACUAUAGUUGCUGCUGAUAAUGAUGUUGACUGUGAUUAAAAGAAGGAUUAAAAGAAGAUAGUUAACUAGAGGUGCUUAUAUUUUGCAUUGUCAAUGAAACUCUUGGGGUUCGAGGAAGAAAAGAAAAUGAACCGACGUGAAGGUUUUCAAUGGUAUGCUAGUAUGAAGUCAGUUCUCUGCCUUCUUUUUCUUCUCUGCCAAAUGGCUUGGGAAACCAGAUGAAUUUUGUCCAUGCCCUGAUCACUAAUCUAUUGCCUUUGCUCUUAUUUCCAAAUAGAAACCUGUUGAAAAGUUGUGUUACACCUGAAUAAAGCUUAUCCUAAAAAUGUAGAAAAAUGCUUUGGAGUUGGUCAAAACUGGACUUGAAACCUGACUCAACUGUUUACUAGCUGUGUGAUCUAAGGCAUGUUACUUAACCUCAUUGAACCUCAGUUGCUUCAUCUAAUAUCAUAAUUAAUUUGCAGGGUUUCUAUGAGGACAUUUGUCAAGUGUGUGUCAUAAGCACUCUAUCAAUCAUAGCUAUCAUUGUUAGUUCUUGGGAUGCUCACCACGUGACAGAGACAACAGCAGGCCCUGGUGGCUGGGAGGACGGCAUGGAUCCAACCUCAACCUGGAGUUGUGCUCUUCUGAAGAAAUCCUACUCGGAUGGAUAUAAUACAACCUGCUAAGUGUCCUAGCACUUAUCAGGUUGUAUUAUCAUUGUCCGGGUCUAUGGCUCUCGUCUACCAGACUCUAAAUUCCUUACAGGCAAGGACAGUGCCUUACUCAUCUUUGUAUUCGGUGCCUAAUCCCGUGCACAUUGUAGGCCUCAUUAAAUGUUUGUUGAAUGAAAACCUGAAUCAUCAACAGACAUUAAUUGGGCGCCUGCUCUGUGAUCUCCAUGGGCUCAGCUUUUCCCCGCCAGUUGCCUACAACGUCCAAGCUGUCUUCAGUACGCUUUCUCCCGAAGCUUACUCCUAUCUUCUGACCCUUUUGCUGAGGACUUUUCUGUGUAGUGCAAGCAUAGCAAAUAUAUUCACUUCAUCUCAAGUACUAUCUCCAGCCGAUUGGGAGUACCUGCCUUGAUUCUGUUUUAUAAAAAGGAUUCCGAAGCCAGCUCUCAGGGCAGUGUGAAAGAGCGUUAACGACUCAUCGGUGAUGUUUGCCGAGGGUGGGAGAAGGGGCCGUAACAGCACAAGGGCCACAUCUGGGUCAUAUUUGGUACUAUGUUUUCCGUGAACUGCUCUGUCUCUAUGCCUGCAUUUUAGUCUUGGCUACUUGCAGAUGUUGCAUGGCUGCCGCUGCCACCCCAGUUGCUGCUGGUUGCUCCUUGGGUAGGACCACAGUGAUCACUGAUCAGAAACUUCAUCCUCACAGUCCAGGGUUUGCUCCUGUGGCUGGUAUUCACAGUUUCCCCUUUCAGCUUUACCUCAGCUAUCCCCUUACCUACUACACUGACAGGUAGGCCUCCCCUUUCCGUUCACCACCCAACAGGCUCACAUUUCUUUUCUUAUUUCCGAAUGAUUAAUUGUUCUUGUUCCGUGAGAAGCCUUCUUUCUGUUAGAAGACGUGACAGCUAGAAUACAAGUUAAACGAUUCCAUCAGGGCGCUUCAGUGAGUCAUAUAAGCUUCCCCUUUACUGUGGGAGAAAAUUGGCAGACUUCGGGGCGGGAAGCACUGAGAAGGGAGGUGUUGUAGAUGUGGGAGAGAAAGACGAUAGCAGAUGGAAUCAGAUCCUGGGAACCGAUGUAGGCUGGGAGGGUGAAACCUCUGGCUCCAGAAUGGGGGUGCUGGGAUAGCCUUGGUUGAAAGGAGUUACCUCCUUGCGGGAACACAGGGAUUCAGAGUUAGGAGGAGGAGCUGAGAAGGGGGUUGAAGAUUUGUAAUUGUCGAGGUGACUGAUGGGGAGAGGAAGCCGACCAGGGACAGGAUUACAGAGACAAAUCAGAGUCUACAGAAUAUUCGGGCCAAAAGGCUGGAGUGGGGCCUUUUGGCAUGUUAAAGUGGGGUACUAUUAUAUUAAAUGAUACGUGAGAUGUGAUAUGACUCAGUUAAAGCGAGAAACUAGCUUGAAACUCAGGGAAUUGUAAAGUGGUCUUAGGCCACUGUCACAAGUAAAUUUGAUUGCCUGGGCCUGACCUUUGAUUGAGGAGUGGACAGCUAGCAAGAGAAGGGUUAUGCAGAAAUGACUUUGAAAAUCCAGACUCUCUGUGGAAGGCAGUGUAGGUCCAAAGUGAGCUCAAAGUCUGUGACUAAAAAGAGGACUGGGCGUGAUCAAGAUGGAUGUUGAGUAGUUGGAAACUUGGAAUAAUAGGACCUGUGGUCGGAGAGUGGAUUUUGAAGCCUUGAGAUUUCAAAACCGGAGCGGGCAAGAUACUUGUGAAGCUGGGAUGUCAGAUGGUCCGUUACCUACAUACUGAAGUGAUCCAGGGUUAUAGCGAAAGCUGGACUGGGAACGAGCACUGUGGGCCAGCUAGAAUUAAGGCUUCAGUGCCUGAGGAAUGGUUAGAGGUUGGCUCACGGCAGCUGUGCAGAUGCAAAAGAGGAAAGGAUGUAGUGGGUUAGUAGUGGGAGCCGCAGAAGAGUGGCAGGGAGUCUUCGAAGUUACAGAAACUAUGAUUUGCACAUUGCACUGCGGUGUCGGUUUGCAGAACGCCCAGCAGAAACGAUCCCCUCGUUUACUGAGCGCCUGGUCUGUCCCCGGCACCUUGCUCUGUGCUCUGCCAUUUACCCCAUCUGGGUCUGUCACAUACCGGGUGUGAGAGAAUGAGCAGCAGUCCCAAGCAAGGACAGCUAGGGGAGCUGCUGGCCCUCAGAACUGAGGGGAUGCCAUGGCCAUCUCAGCAGACUGGGCAGCUUGAAGUGGCGUAAAAAAGUUUCCUUAGGAUCAAAACUUUCCCUUGACCUUGACCUAACUCUGUUACAUGGUACAAGCUCGUGUUGGCUGUUCCAUAAUGUACUCUCGCUUCUGAGCCUCUGAGUUGAGGAGUAUGGGCUGGUACUGUCCUUAAAAAAAAAAUUAAAAAAAAUAAAACAGGCGCAGCACUUUCAAAAACGCACAUAUGGAUUGACUAGAACAAGACAGUCCAGUUACCUAAUUGAGCUUUUAAGAUAAAGGAUAGACGAGAGAAGCUCGCAUCGAUGGGUGGUGAAAAACAAGACCACUUUGCAAAAGCCACUCUGAGGUCAGGAUCCAUCCAGUUUAGUGGACAUAUUGUAGAUACCUGCUGUGCUGUUGGGAAGGACUGGAAAUUGAUGCAGAGAGAUGUCCCUUGGGACCCGGAAGGUCAAGUUUAGGAGAAGAGAGUCUCUGUGAACCCUGCGACAUUGCACGUAGUCAUUUUUCUUUGGUUAUAGUCUUCACAUGAUUCAGUAUUUCACUAAAGGUUUAGAGCCACUGUGAUAGAGUGACCAGGCCCUCAGACAGCCCAUCCCCUCCUGUGGGGGCUGCUUUAUAUUUAUUCCUCAGGAGAACCUGGUAGAAGACUUCGUGUGAGGGAGAAGAAAAGGCAAGAAGCAGAGAGUGACUCCAGCCUGUCGUCAUCUCAGCUUCACAAGGCAUGACUCAGCAGAGGGAGGGAUCAUCCUCUGGAGAGUCUCCAGACCCAGGUUGCUCCUUUCAGUUGCAUGCUUAGACCUCUCAGCUACUUUUUCUGUUCAGAAAUCAUACUGUAUGUGCAUAUGUGAACUGUCACUUCCCAUAAAGAGUACUCCACAUUCCCAGUUAAAAAAAAAAAAAUCCCUCAAAGAAGGUAUAAGGCUCGCUGUGUUAGGUUUCCAGUAGUCAAAAAUUGCUGGAUCCCCAAUGCUGGAAUAUAGGCCACCAGGGAGGAGUUUGGGUUUCAGCAACAAAGGCCCCCAGCUUCAUGGAAGGAAGGCAGUCAACUGACUUGAAAGUAACCCCUAUCCCUGCACUUCACAUUAUUCCUUCUUCCUUCAGCUCCUUGACUCAGAUAAGACCACUGACAACAGCAAACCAAAGCCAUACCUUCUCCUUCCACUGGCACUUCUCUGGCCUGCGUAGCUGCUGUUAGGAAUCACUCUCUUUCAUUAGCACUUCCUUCCUCCCAUCUCUUAAGACCCAGAGAGUCAUGAAUGCUAGAGUUGGGGUCGAAUUUGUCCUACUUGCCUCUGUGGUUGGGGAAUACUAACGUUAAUCAGCCCGAUACCCACUUCCUCCUUAUACCAUGACAGUUACUGGAGAAGCUGUAGCCAAGGCCAGCAGCCCUGCGGACCCCAGCCCCAGGACUUACUCCUGAGGUCUCAGCUGAUUACAAAAUACUAGUAGGAGGGCUUGCCCCAUCCCAGCCCCCCUUCUGAGUUAGCCAUCAGAGAUCAGGACUUGUCUUAGGGCAUAUGUUGCAUAAGAACAGAUUAUCUCAGGGGUUAAUAGUGAACAGUAUCAGGAGUCCAGGUUACCUUUUAUCUCUCUUGGGGAUGGGCAGAAUAGGGCAAGUGGAAAGUCUUGUGCCUUUAAAAUAUAUUCCCAGUGAUUCCUCAGGACACCCUGGGUCACACCAUCUGGUACCUUAUCCCGGGUCUUGCCUCUUCUUCAGAGUUUUUCUAGUGCACAUCUUGCUCUCACUAAUCACCUUUUAUUCCCUGCCAGACCCUGGUGGGUUUCAGUGGGUGUGGUUUUGUUCUGUUUUUUUUCUUUUCCCUUCCUCAGGCCAUCUGUAACAGUCAUCAUCUGGGAGGAGCCUUGUUGUGAAUGAAGCCUCAGUGAGUGUUUGGAGUGACACCCAUGUUUUUCUCUGAAUAUAGGAGGGAAGGAGGCCAUGAAAUCCUAUAAUGGAGUAACAAAAAUUUGACAUUUUAGUAGAUACUGGACCUAGAAGCCUACAUGAAGGAAGUUAAACAAACCUGAGAGAUCUUGGAUGUGUGUUGAGUGAAGAUAGGAGUGAAUUCCUUAUUGCCCUUAGUAAUGGAGGAAGAGAGGGGAGAAAAGUGAGGGUCCUUUAUGUCCCUGGAGGAGGCCCUGAGGCUUGCUUCUUAAACCAGUGACUUUUAAGUUGCAGUGCACUACUUCCGUUGCUGUUUGAGAGUCGCUGUUCCAAGCCCUCUUCUCAGGUACAGCUGCCUUUGUAGAGAUUCCUCUUGACCCCUAUUGAGAAACAACCCAGAACGAGGUUUUCAGCUUAGAACUCUCUGGAUCAGUGACGGUUUUAGAGGGGCCGAGGACAGAGAAGGUAGCACAAGUAGUACCAAAUAGCUCAGUUUUUUAUAUAUAGGAUGGAUGGGGUAGAGGCGGAGAGCACAGUGGUUCCAGGCAACUCCAAACACCUGGCAAGGUGUAAGGAAACAGUACACUGAAAGGUCAACCCUUAGACCUAUUAUUUGUCAAUCCCCAGAGCAUGAUAGAAUAUCUAAAAGUUAUAAAGAUUCUUUUCUAGAAGAGAUUUAGAAGAGGGGAACUUCCAAUUAUGUAAUAUGAGCAUUACAGCUUUAAAAACAUCUGUUCCCUACGUAGGUCAUGAAGAUUGAUAAUCGUAUCAGCCUGUGGCUGACUAGGCCAGUAUUAACUUCGAGGUUUCAUGCUCUUGGAGAGAUCCUGCCACUCUCUUGCUUUGACAGGUGUUCAUCUGCAGUAUGAGUCCAGUACUUGAAGGAACAAGAGGACAGCAGGCAUCCAGGAGACAGCAGUGUAGUCUUCGAAGUGAAGAUGGCAACAGAAAAGAUCAUGGAGUUGGCUGGAUUGGGCUGGGCUUGUUUGUUGUUUCAGAAUUUAAAAAAUACUUUUUUUCUUGUUGAUAAAAGUAACAGAUGAUCACUGUUGAAAAAUCAAAGGUAUAAAUUAAAAAGUAAAGAACACCUAUAAUCUUAUAACCCACAAAACAACUCAACAUCUGAGUGUGUUUCCUUUUGCCCCUUUAAAAAAGAAUGUCUGUAACACAGUUUUUUCAAGUUUUCAUUUUAAUUCCAGUUAGUAAACAUAGUGUUCUGUUCAUUUCAGGUGUACAAUUUAAAAACAAAAUUGACAUCAUAUUGUAUAUGUUGUUCUCCCAUCUUUUUUUCGUUUGAAAAUAACAUAUUUCCAUGUUACUAGCGUUCUUUGAAAACACAGUAUUGUUACAUAAUAUUUCAUACGGAUCUAACAAAAUUUAGGUAGAUGAUUACAUGCUGCUGGACAUUUGCAUAUUACCAAUUUUGCCUAUAAAGUGUAAUAAACUUCAUUGUACAUUAAUCGUUGUGUAUAUUUCUAAUUAUUUCUUUGCACUAAAUUUCUAGAAUGGGAAUUACUGAGUUUGAUGAGAGCAUUAUUAGGGUAUCUGAAAAGUACUGUUGAAUUGUCCUCAGUAUAGUUGUAAAAAUUACAUUCCCAUCAGUGGUGUAUAAAUGUUCAUAUUUCUCCACACAUUCAUCAGAAUAUGGCCUUUCUCUCUUUUUGUAAAUGUCUGCUCAUUUAAUAGGUACAAAUAUACAUCUGUUCUAUUAGAGAUUUGUAUUUGUAAUUUACAUACAGUAAAAGUCAGUCGUGAUUUAUAGUUCUAUGGUUUUUUAAAAAGAUUUUAUUUGAGAGUGUGCACACGCACGCAUGGGGGGAGGGGCAGGGGGAGCAGCAGGCACAGGGAGAAUCAGGCUCCCCACUGAGCAGGGAGCCCGAUGUAGGCCUUGAUCCCAGGCCCCUGAGAUCAUGACCUGAGCCGAAGGUAGACACUUAACCAACUGAGCCACCCAGGCCCCCUGUUCUAUGGGUUUUGGACAAGUAUAGUCAUGUAUACUACUUAGGUACCAUUAGAAAACAGUUUUAUCACUAAUAAUUUCAAUUGUUCUUUUUGUUGUAAACCACUUUCCCCAUUCCCAAUCCCUGAAAACUGCUGAUUUGUUCUCCAUCCCUAUGGUUUUUCCCUUUCAAGAGGUCCUAUGAUUGGAAUCACACAAUAUGUAGAUAUUUUGGUCUGGUUUCUUUCACUUGGUGAAAUGCGCUUAAGAAUCAUCCAUGUUGGGGGGUGGAGCAAGAUGGCGGAGGAGUAAGAGACCUGAAUUUCGUCUGGUCCCAGGAAUUCAGCUAGAUAGGGAUCAAACCAUUCUGAACACCUACAAACUCAACAGGAGAUCGAAAAAAAGAACAGCAGGAACUGUCUGAUCAGAAAGGCGGCCACUUUCUGGAAGGUAGGACGUGGGGAGAAGUGACUCCGAGGCGUUAUUCGGGAAGAUAGACGGCGGGACAGGGGGCCUCCAUCAGCCACU